UUGAACAUUUUUAAAAUAUUACGGCAUUACUUCGGUACUGGGGUACAGACAAAUUUACGGCACUCGUUUACUAGCUUGUAUAGUUUACUACGCCACUACACUAUACUAGCCCCGUAGUCCUACUUAGUUUUUUUUUAUUAUCAAAGUCAAAAUAAAAUUCUGUUUCCCCACCGACCAGUUUAUCAAUUAUUAAGUUUAUCUGUUUUCCAUUAGGUAUAUACAUAUACCAUACACAGGUAUCUACCUACAGCUGCAUCGAUACGACUGCAGACGCACUCAGGUAAUUCAAAAUAAUCUGUCGAUAUAAAUCUGCGGACGGACUCGGGCUAUGAAAAAUGUAAGAAUUAAAAACGGGAUGCACUCGGUUUUCUGUUACCUAUCAAACUUAAUAAUCACUUAGCGAGGUAGAGAGAGAGAGA